UCGAGAAUCUUCGGCAAUGGGCGCAAGCCUGACCGAGCGACACCGCGUGCGGGAUGAAGGCCUUCGGGUUGUAAACCGCUGUCGUAGGGGAGGAAGGGCCUGCGAAGAGCAGGACUUGACCGAUCCUAGGAGGAAGGGCCGGCUAAUCUCGUGCCAGCAGCCGCGGUAAUACGAGAGGCCCAAACGUUAUUCGGAUUUACUGGGCUUAAAGAGUUCGUAGGCGGCUUGGAAAGUGGGGUGUGAAAGCCCUCGGCUCAACCGAGGAAUUGCGCUCCAAACUACCGAGCUUGAGGAAGCUAGAGGUGAGCAGAACUGAUGGUGGAGCGGUGAAAUGCGUUGAUAUCAUCAGGAAUACCGGAGGCGAAGGCGGCUCACUGGGACUUUUCUGACGCUGAGGAACGAAAGCUAGGGGAGCAAACGGGAUUAGAUACCCCGGUAGUCCUAGCCGUAAACGGUGAGCACUGGACCGGGGGCCUGCACAGGCCCUCGGUCGUAGCGAAAGUG
rnacentral:rRNA from 1 species